UACGUAGGGUGCGAGCGUUAAUCGGAAUUACUGGGCGUAAAGCGUGCGCAGGCGGUUAUGUAAGACAGAUGUGAAAUCCCCGGGCUCAACCUGGGAACUGCCUUUGUGACUGCAUAGCUAGAGUACGGUAGAGGGGGAUGGAAUUCCGCGUGUAGCAGUGAAAUGCGUAGAUAUGCGGAGGAACACCGAUGGCGAAGGCAAUCCCCUGGACCUGUACUGACGCUCAUGCACGAAAGCGUGGGGAGCAAACAGG
rnacentral:rRNA from 1 species